rnacentral:rRNA from 1 species
UACGAAGGGGACUAGCGUUGUUCGGAAUUACUGGGCGUAAAGCGCACGUAGGCGGAUUUGUUAGUCAGGGGUGAAAUCCCGGGGCUCAACCUCGGAACUGCCUUUGAUACUGCAAGUCUCGAGUCCGAUAGAGGUGGGUGGAAUUCCUAGUGUAGAGGUGAAAUUCGUAGAUAUUAGGAAGAACACCGGUGGCGAAGGCGGCGACCUGGGCCAAUACUGACGCUGAGGUGCGAAAGCGUGGGGAGCAAACAGG